rnacentral:lncRNA from 1 species
AGUUCCAGGGAUCUCCCAGAGCGUUCCCUCUGCCCACAACCCUCUCGCAGGCCCCCGGCCGAGCCUUACCUUGGUCCGCAUCUGUCCAGAGGUGGACACUUUACGGAUCAGCUUCUGGGGCCCCUCCUGCUCCGCUUCACUGUCGGACGAAUCCUCUCCCGGUCCUGCAGCAGUGGGGGAAACCGCGCUGGCCCCAGCGACCGCUCCUCCCGCGACGCCCUGAGGGUGGUGCUGGCUGCCGGCCCCGGCCAUCCUCUCUGAUUCCUGCAGGGACACAGCAGCGCCCCGAGGGGCUGUGGUCAGCUGCUGGGCUCUGCCCGAACGUCUGAGCCCUGCGCCUAGCUGGCGCCAUCUUCCGUGGUCCCCGCCACGCAGCACCCUGGACCCGGGACCCGGGAUCACGCGCCGCCCCUGCCGAGACCUCUGCGUGCUUCACAUCUGGGCACCCAGCCUUGGGAUGUUCUGGGGCUGCUGACCCAGGAUAUGACCAGCACCGGAAUGAGAGGAUGGAAGUCGCGAUAAGCCUCGAACGACCUCCCCCUUACUCCUCCUAGGGUCUGGAGGGCUCAGAGGGAAUGGAGAGCAGAGAUAGGCAGGGGCAUGCCGCAGCAGGUCAGACAGUGGCGAUGCUCCUCCCCAUGUUCUAGGCAGCAGGAGUGAGGAGAAGGCUCCUGCGGGGAAGGGGGACAUGGAGCUACCUCCUAUGCCCUGGGGUGCACCUCUGGACUCCGAAUCCCUCCACAUACUCGGACCACCAGCUAAGUAAAAGUUCCCUCUGCCCCGGAGAUGAACUGGGUCUCAAGGACCCUCAGCACCAUUGCUAGGACCUUACCUCCCCACCUCUGCCCGGGGGUUCGGGUCCUUUCGGCCUCCUCUACAGUGCUGUUUAGUUUCGGGCCCACCCCCAUCCGGCGCACACGGAAGAGCAGAGCAUUUUCCGGGAGGUUCAGCUCCGCUCUGAGAACUUUUGGUUCAGAAAGAGCGAUUCCCUUUGGCUAACAGGAAGCUGAAAAGGGCGUGGAGAGGACGCAGAAACAAGAGAGGACACGCAGCCCAAGACGACAAUAUGCUGAAAUAAAUGUCUAGACUAAAGCGCCCAUCCAGAAUGCCUGUAAGAAUGCACUCAACUAACAAAGUAUAAAGUAAAGAAUAUAAAUACACACAUCCACAGAAGAGAACGCCACUCCCUGGUCCGGACUAAAGUCUGAGGAAAGAGAAUCCACAGGCUGGAGCCUGGGCCCCAGACGCUUCCCCGGCCAGCUACUUAAGCGCAGCCCCUGGGAUGAGCAACCUCGCAGCAGCGCAGAAUGCACAUUCAACCUCAAAAUCCUACACAGGUGGGGGAAGAGGGGCUGAGGGAGAGGGUACGAAAAGGACACGCUUCCUGCUGUCCACCUUAGAAAACGUCACAGUGCUGUUAGUGAUUUUCCAAUUAUGAAGUCCCUACCGACUCCGGGGGUGCUCUCCUCGGUAGAGCAAUCCUUUUAGCCAUUGCCCUUCAGGUACCUCUCCUAGUUUGUCACUUAGCCUUGACCUUGAAAAUUCCUGGAAACUAAGAUUUGGGGUUUUGAUUCUUUCAGGUUUCAGGUGCAACCUUAAGACCAGCAAUGAUCGGCUCAGCGUUAGAGCUGCUGCCAGCUCUAAGGGAUUUUAACUACACUGAAAAUGUGAAAUCCGUUUCAGUCAUUCAGCAUGAGAGCGCGGCCAUGUUUCUCAAGCACAGAGACAGCCUCUCUUGUGUGUCAGUUGUUCCCUUUAGCGAGGGAAAACGUGGGGUGAAAUGGACUUCAAAAGUCCUUCUGGCCCUAUAAUAUGAAAUUCUGUACCUACAAGAACACACUGCUGAGAACUUUCUAAGAAACAAUAGCAUUAAAUGACCUUGGCCGGAGAUCCAGAUCAGUGCCUAGAGUACAGAAGGCCCAUCACAGCCAAAAACAAAAUAAUGCCCUUUUAGUGACCUUUGUCUUAGUCUGACUAUUUGGUCACAGACAAGUCAAGACAAAGACCCUUAGUAAAGGGCCUAACACAGUUCAGACUUUUCCUUUUAACAUAAAGAAGACAGAGGGCACAAGCUGGGACCAAAACGUGAUUAUGAUUCUAAUGUUCUCUUCCCCACACUCUAUAUAGCUAAAGGUCACUUUGACAGCUAUCCUGUAUUUCAACCCACACAUUAAACUUUCAGGUUUUAUAUAGCAACAUUUCCCAGAAUCCAGUCAAGGGUGACUGAAGUGAAAGGUGGUCUAAGGCCCAUGCCUAUUUGGUGAAGAAGAUGGGUUCCAUUUCUUACUCUUUGAAAGGAUGCAGAUUGCUUAAAGACACAUUGCACAGCUUCACAUCCAGGAGCCAGGCAAUUAAUUCCUCAAAGUGCAGGUAUCCAUUACUUAUAAAAACCUAGCCUUGCAGCCCGCUCUGAUCAACACAGAAUUCAGUAGCCAGCUCCUAAGGCCUGUAACUUUGAAAAGCAAAGCCAAUCUAAGCCAGUUCCUGCUAAGUAAAUGACUGCAACUCUACAGCAUCUGCAGCUGUAGAGGAAACCCAGGAUGGGUGGAAAUACUGUGUAGGCAAAGAAAGGAAAGCUGCCUCAUUUCCCACUAAAGGCAGCUCAGGGGAAAACCCUGUUGGAAGACCAUCGCUUCUGAGAAACUUUCAAGGAAUCACCAAUUUAAAAUAGUAUCUGACCUACUAACUGCUUCUCCUCCUAGUUAAAAGCAUUCAAAAUGGUUAUCUGACCUAAGUGAAAUGCCCUUGCCUUUUCUUUGUUCAGUUUCUUUGUUUUGAGGUAGUCCCCUAGCACGCCUCAGUCCCAAUCUGACUUGGAAUCUAUGGCAGGUCUCUUGCAUCAGCCUCUAUUUCUUGAAAUGGCUAUUACAAUUUCAAAUACAUG